rnacentral:lncRNA from 1 species
CAAUUUUCUCUACUGAAAAAAAUUUUACUUACAUAUUUCAUUUUCAAUUUCUAUAAGUUUCUGUAAUUACAUAAAAGUUGAAAAAGAUAGUAGAGAGUGUGUUCUGAAAUAUCCUACCCCCAAGUAAGCUUGAUCACCUAGCCGAGGUAGUAUUUAUCAGAUUUCUCCACUGUAAAAAUUCUUUCCAAUCCUUUUCAUAUUGUAUUCUUUGGAAGUUACCAUGCACAGCCCACAGUUAAAGUAUGAAGAGUUACGAGCUCAGGAUGCAGCUCAUGGUAGAGCACUUGCCUAGCAUGCAUGAGGCCCAGGAUUCAGUCCCAGGCAUUGCAAACAAAGAUUGCAGAGUUAUGUCCACUUCCUUAAGGAGCGAGUAUCUUUAUAAAUUUUUUGGAAUUCUUCUGUAUGUGAGAUUAGUCUAUUCUCCCUUAAAUUUUAUCAUUUUUUACUUCAGAUAAGAAAAUUUUAAAAAUGAUCUUGGGAAAUUUUUUUUCUCUAUCACUAGAAAAAAAUUUACUAAUUUGAACUGGUUUACUUGAAACAGUAAUUAAUUAGUUAAUUUUCUAUGCUUUAAAACAUUUUAUUUACUUAUUGCAUUGUGUUUUUCUAUACUUUGACCUUUUUUUCUGGUUAUCUCAUAAACCGUAAGGUUGUGGAUGCCAUGAAAUAUUUAUGACUUCAUUUUCCCUCAUCUCUUUCAGUUCUUGAUUUUUUGCUUAGUCCAAAGCUGGAUCCCCUGCAUUUACCUGAAAUGUAAUGGGAUGGCUUGACAAAUAUUUUGUUGUGUUUAUCUUUUUUAGUAUAUAUGUGUGUGUGUGUGUGUGUUUGUACACACACACACACACAUAUAUAUAUAUAUAUCAGUAUUUCUACUGAAAUCCUAAUGCAUAUUUUGUGUUCUGUUUUCACCUGGC